UGAAAUAAACCUGAUGGGUUGUUGCUGGCUCUCUAGGGAGCAUGUGCACGCCUUGUCAUCUUUAUAUCUCCACCUGUGCACCUUUUGUAGAUCUUUCAGGUCUAUGUUGCUUCAUUUUACCACAAUGCAUGUUAAUAGAAUGUUGUGCCUAUAUAAUAUAUACAACUUUCAGCAACGGAUCUCUUGGCUCUCGCAUCGAUGAAGAACGCAGCGAAAUGCGAUAAGUAAUGUGAAUUGCAGAAUUCAGUGAAUCAUCGAAUCUUUGAACGCACCUUGCGCUCCUUGGUAUUCCGAGGAGCAUGCCUGUUUGAGUGUCAUUAAUAUAUAUAUCAGCCCUCUCUUGUUGAGUGGUUUGGAUGUGGGGGGUUUGCUGGCCUCUUAAAAGAGGUUCAGCUCCCCUGAAAUGCAUUAGCAGAGCAACCUGUUCAUUGGUGUGAUAACUAUCUACGCUAUUGAAUGUGAAGGGAAGUUCAGCUUUCUAACAGUCCUUGGACAAUUUACAUCAUUAAUGUGACCUCAAAUCAGGUAGGACUACCCGCUGAACUUAAGCAUAU
rnacentral:rRNA from 1 species